rfam:Erinaceus europaeus unplaced genomic scaffold scaffold00145, whole genome shotgun sequence
CAGCAACAUCUGUCACCCCACUGAUUGCCAGGGUUGAUUCGGCUCAUCUGGCUGGCUAGGUGGGUGUUU